UAUAAAGCAUAUGAGCAUUAAUGGUCAAAAUGACUGCUAUGUCAUUGUGUGCUGCAGGAGAAAAGAAGGAAAAAAAAGACAAUACCUGAACUGUUUGAACACUAUAACAUGUCAUUAAGCCACAAAUAGUGUAACUUUGGUUGUGAUUUUGCCCUAUAAGAGUGAAAGUGACUAAAGUGAUUAUAUUAAAGUGAAAUUUAUGCUGUGCUUUUGAUCUUGAUUUGUGAAAUCUUAUUUGCCUACUUUUUUAAAUAUUUAUUUCCAUACAGAUAGUGUGGCUUUGGUUAUGGUGUUCGUCCUGCCAGCACAGGGACCCACAACCCCUUGGAAGGUAAACAAGAUAAACUACGGAAAGCUGUACAGCAUAUACUGUCUCUUCUGGAAGAGAUGAAAACUGAUGUGAAAGAUGUGAAAAAUAGGCUUGCGCAGAUGGAGUACCAAACCCAAGAAAAGGAGCUGACAUCUGCCACAAGGGUUACAGUUUCCCUUAAAAUCUUCAAAGGAUGUAGAACGUCUCGAGCUGGAUUUAAAGACAGAUCUAGGAAAACGAACACGAAUUGGAAUGCUAUUUGGCAAUGCGUGGGGGAUUCAGUUUAAAGCAUAUCGUCAGGGACAAACGGUCUCUGCUAUUUUCAAAUAAAUUAGCCCGGUCUUACAACUUCCAUGGUCUGAAGGGAAAGAAGGGACUCAAGAACCACCCCUUUCUUGUACAAACAGUUCAGGAUGCUGCAAGAAAAACUUGCCCUCAAGCUACUGAAGCAGAACUGCAGAUGCAGAUCUCUAGCUGGUUAGCUGGUGCUAGGAAUUGAGAGAAUGGCAGAAGGGAAAGGGCACCUGAGCACAGACUGUUAAAGUCAGUAAAUAGUUCUGGGGUGGGGAACGAAUUGGAGGACAAGUAAAGCUGUACAAUUUUUGCAUAUUUAAAAUUAGUUUUUUAAUUAACAAUUUCAAUAAACAUCAGAAAACGACAAAUCAUGUUUGUUUUUUGUAACAUUUUGUUUGGCAUUUAUAGGGUUAUUUUGAUGCAUUUGAUAUUAUUGGUUUUUCUAGGAAUUUUGGCAUAUCCUGAUUUAAAAACAACGUAAAUCAGAAUAUGCCAAAAUACCUAAAAUUACCAAUAAUAGCUGGAAAUCUAGGUAUCUAGGUUCACAUGGGCUUCCCAUAUAGGAAGCCCAUCUCGGCCCACGGUCGGACCUGUUUGCGCUUUCGGCGGUUGGGCCGAUAUAGGCUUCCCAUAUGGUCAUAAGAUAGCUCAUAUGGGUCCUAUAUGGGACACACAUGGGUCCUAUAUGGCCUCUCCUCCAAAUGCUACUAGGGAUAUUUAAUCAUAUGUUAGAGCAGUUAUCACUAAAACAAAGAUUAUAAGGAUGGACACAAAAAGGAAACAAACUACAACACUGCACACCUUAUCAAACUUUUUCAAGAUAUUUUGUUUGACUGAGUCAUUCACAAGUUCGUCUGCGUCUUCCGCUUGUCCCAGUUGUACACUCUUUUCUGCUUCAUCUCGCCCUUCGCAUUCUUUGUGCGAGGCCCUUUGUGGUGUAAACUUUAGCUG
rnacentral:lncRNA from 1 species